GGCGUCUCUUCGUGGAGCGGGAGCUGCUGCUUCCGAGCGGGGAGCGGCGGGGAAUCGCCUCACUCGCGGCACGGUUCGCUGCCAAGGAGGCGCUG
rnacentral:tRNA from 1 species